rnacentral:rRNA from 1 species
UACGUAGGUGGCAAGCGUUGUCCGGAUUUAUUGGGUUUGAAAGGGUGCGUAGGCGGCCUUGUAAGUCAGUGCUGAAAUAUCCCGGCUUAACCGGGAGGGUGGCAUUGAUACUGCAGGGCUUGAGUAAAGUUGAGGUUGGCGGAAUUGACGGUGGUAGCGGUGAAAUGCUUAGAUAUCGUCAAGAACACCGAUAGUGAAGACAGCUAACUAAGCCUUAAACUGACGCUGGAGGCACGAAAGUGUGGGGAUCAAACAGG